rnacentral:tRNA from 2 species
GAGGGAUUCGAACCCUCGGUAAACAAAAGCCU